rnacentral:rRNA from 1 species
GAUCCUGGCUCAGAUUGAACGCUGGCGGCAUGCUUUACACAUGCAAGUCGAACGGCAGCGGGGUAGUGCUUGCACUACUGCCGGCGAGUGGCGAACGGGUGAGUAAUAUAUCGGAACGUACCGAGUAAUGGGGGAUAACCAAUCGAAAGAUUGGCUAAUACCGCAUACGUCCUGAGGGAGAAAGCGGGGGAGUCGCAAGACCUCGCGUUAUUCGAGCGGCCGAUAACUGAUUAGCUAGUUGG